rnacentral:rRNA from 1 species
GAUGAACGCUGGCGGCGUGCCUAAUACAUGCAAGUCGAGCGAACAGACGAGGAGCUUGCUCCUCUGACGUUAGCGGCGGACGGGUGAGUAACACGUGGAUAACCUACCUAUAAGACUGGGAUAACUUCGGGAAACCGGAGCUAAUACCGGAUAAUAUAUUGAACCGCAUGGUUCAAUAGUGAAAGACAGUUUUGCUGUCACUUAUAGAUGGAUCCGCGCCGCAUUAGCUAGUUGGUAAGGUAACGGCUUACCAAGGCGACGAUGCGUAGCCGACCUGAGAGGGUGAUCGGCCACACUGGAACUGAGACACGGUCCAGACUCCUACGGGAGGCAGCAGUAGGGAAUCUUCCGCAAUGGGCGAAAGCCUGACGGAGCAACGCCGCGUGAGUGAUGAAGGUCUUCGGAUCGUAAAACUCUGUUAUUAGGGAAGAACAAAUGUGUAGGUAACUAUGCACGUCUUGACGGUACCUAAUCAGAAAGCCACGGCUAACUACGUG